rnacentral:rRNA from 1 species
UUUAGACGAGAGUUUGAUCCUGGCUCAGGAUGAACGCUGGCGGCGUGCCUAACACAUGCAAGUCGAGCGAAGCGCUUAAGUCUGAUUCUUCGGAUGAAGGCUUUUGUGACUGAGCGGCGGACGGGUGAGUAACGCGUGGGCAACCU